AUGGAACAAUGUAGGCAAGGGAAGUCAGCAAAACGGAUCUGUAACUUAGGGAAAAGGAUUGGCUCUGAGGACUGGGCUCGGGGGUCCCGGCCCCGAACCCGUCGGCUGUCGGCGGAUUGCUCGAGCUGCUCACGCGGCGAGAGCGGGUCGCCGCGUGCCGGCCGGGGGACGGACCGGGAAUCGCCCCUUCGGGGGCUUUCCCCGAGCAUGAAACAGUCGACUCAGAACUGGUACGGACAAGGGGAAUCCGACUGUUUAAUUAAAACAAAGCAUUGCGAUGGUCCUCGCGGAUGCUGA
rnacentral:rRNA from 1 species